rnacentral:rRNA from 1 species
AACGAACGCUGGCGGCAGGCUUAACACAUGCAAGUCGAGCGCGUAGCAAUACGAGCGGCAGACGGGUGAGUAACGCGUGGGAAUCUACCGAGCCCUAAGGAAUAGCUCCGGGAAACUGGAAUUAAUACCUUAUACGCCCUUUUGGGGAAAGAUUUAUCGGGGUUUGAUGAGCCCGCGUUGGAUUAGCUAGUUGGUGGGGUAAAGGCCUACCAAGGCGGCGAUCCAUAGCUGGUCUGAGAGGAUGAUCAGCCACAUUGGGACUGAGACACGGCCCAAACUCCUACGGGAGGCAGCAGUGGGGAAUAUUGGACAAUGGGCGCAAGCCUGAUCCAGCCAUGCCGCGUGAGUGAUGAAGGCCCUAGGGCUGUAAAGCUCUUUCACCGGUGAAGAUAAUGACGGUAACCGGAGAAGAAGCCCCGGCUAACUUCGUGCCAGCAGCCGCCGUAACAC